rnacentral:rRNA from 1 species
CCUACGGGAGGCUGCAGUGAGGAAUAUUGGUCAAUGGACGAGAGUCUGAACCAGCCAAGUAGCGUGAAGGAUGACUGCCCUAUGGGUUGUAAACUUCUUUUAUAUGGGAAUAAAAUGUUCCACGUGUGGGAUUUUGUAUGUACCCUAUGAAUAAGGAUCGUCUAACUCCGUGCCAGCAGCCGCGGUAAUACGGAGGAUCCGAGCGUUAUCCGGAUUUAUUGGGUUUAAAGGGAGCGUAGGUGGAUUGUUAAGUCAGUUGUGAAAGUUUGCGGCUCAACCGUAAAAUUGCAGUUGAAACUGGCAGUCUUGAGUACAGUAGAGGUGGGCGGAAUUCGUGGUGUAGCGGUGAAAUGCUUAGAUAUCACGAAGAACUCCGAUUGCGAAGGCAGUUCACUGGACUGCAACUGACACUGAGGCUCGAAAGUGUGGGUAUCAAACAGGAUUAGAUACCCCAGUAGUC